UCUUUCUAUUAAACGAUGUCGAUCUAGAUCACCACUAUAUUAGAGCUCCUUUAAACAUAAUGUUCAACUGAUUGUUCCCGGCCAUUGUUAUCCCUCUUGAUCACCAUUAUUGCACAUUUUUUUCCAAUUUUUAUAUAGUUAUUCCAUAGUACAAUGACCAGGAGCAACUAGAAAGUCCAGUAAUAAAAUGCUUACUUUGGUUUCUCUGUUCAAUAUGCUUUCAUUGUUUAGAUCUGAAUAGUUCUGGUGUUGAAUGCUAUUUCUUGUUGUUGUUGAGCUGUUAGUUAUAUAAUUAGAUUCAAAUGGAACACUAUAUCUAGAUGACUCCAAGUUAACUGACUCUAUUGAAUAGUCAAUGACCAGAAGAACUGUAGUUGAUAGGUCCUUGACAUGCUUUGCAACUUGUUAAUUUAAGAUUGUGCCUUGGAAGAAACAUGUUAAGGGUUUCCUUACUAGUCCAGAAUAUCAAGAGGUACAGUAGCAGAUAAUUAGCAAUUAGAGUAAUAGGAGGUGAGAGGUAGAAGAUAGGAUAGAGAAGGGUUGAGGUAUCAAGAUGAUACUCUCAAGGAAAUAUUAUUUAGAAAAGAAGGAAGAAAGAACAAGUAAUGACAGAAGAUUCACUUGGCAUUCGAGAGGCCAAACUCUCCACUAAAUAUCACUCCACUUAUUCCCUACCUAAAAGCUUUUCAGCUUCCUUAUUUAUAAUAUCCAUAUCCUAACUACUUUCCUAAACAUGUGGAGUAACAAUAUUUUGAAAUUUCAAUCAGUCACGUGUUUUCCCCUCCUUCUAUAAGUAAAUUUAAAAGGAGUUAAAUUCUGAUU